GGGGAUUUAGCUCAGUGGUAGAGCACUUGCCUAGCAAGCACAAGGUCCUAGGUUCGGUCCCCAGCUCCG
rnacentral:tRNA from 1 species